UUCACAUUUUAAAUCCAAGAAAAAUGUUGUUGAUAUUUUAGAAAAAUUUAAAUCUACAUACGAUGGCAUGCUAAUCAAAAAAGGGAAAAUUUAUAAUAAUGUCAAUGACGUAUAUUUAACUGAGAAAAAACCUUGUAUUAUUUUAAUUUGGGAUUCUGAUACUCAUGAUUUUAUUAGCAGAGGUCUCGGGUUUUAUGUUGGAUCUGGAGUUAUAAUUACAGCCAAACAUGUUUUAAAUAAAUACAAAAAUAAAAAGGUAUUUGUUUUUUUCCAAAAUAAAAAAUUUAGUUUAGCCUACAAUAUUAAUACAGAUAACAUAGUUUUCCACAAUGAUUAUGAUUUUGCUAAAGUGAAAUUGGAAAGCAAUUCUGAUAAACUACCAAAUAUAAAACCUGUAGAAUUAGACCUAUUAUAUGGAAACAUAUCUUCAUACCUUUAUUUUUACAGACUAAGAGCAGGGCGUUUUGUUAAAGUCCAAUGUAAAAUGAAAAAAAAAUUGAAUCUCGUAGAGUUUAUUCUUUCUAAAAUGGGAAAUUAUGGCGAUAGCGGGACACCUAUUUUUACAAGUUCUGGUAAAUGUGUUGGAAUAUAUCUUGGUGCAUUUGAAAAACCAAGCACUAAAACAUUUCUAUUCGGCAUAGGUUUACAAUUUGAUAGUUGUUUAAUUAAAGGCAUCUUUUCAAGAAGUGUCCUCUGUAGUUUUUAAUAUUCUAAUGCUAAAUUUUUUUUAUUUCUGUUUUUCAUCACUUUAAUGUUUUUCAAUCUCACUCCAAUUUUCCCAGCUUACUAAUGAGCUAUUGAAUUUUAUAGUGAGUGGGGAAGCAAAAAGCAGGGCCACCAGGGGCAAGAUUGAGAAACACUGUAUCCCAUGUACAUAAAUCUGGCAAAAUGCAGAAAUGCUGUAACACAAUUGGCAUGGUUACAGUACCAUAAAGUGUGUAAUAUUUCCCAUUGUUUGGCGACUGUCUGGAGAGGAUCUUGUGCCUUGCCCAAAACAAAAUCUUGUGUCUUGUCGGUAUGGAGCUGGACUAUUGUUACAGGUGUAGCAGCAUCAGCUCUGAAAGUCAUCUGUUUCAAGCUAAAACAACUAGAAGCACCUCCAAACUGCAUAUGUCACAUUUGGGUCAAGAUACAAUCAUGAUUCCUCUCCAUAAAAUGAUGGUGGCUCGACUCACUUGAUCAAAAGAGACGCAACAAUAUGUUGAAACAGGACAUAGUAAGCACAACACCCUUACGCCAUUGCUCAGUGUCAUGAUGAACCACCUCUGGAUGACACGCGUCACUAUUGGGUCAAAAGAUAUUCCUCAUGAAUUUAUUGCUCAUGAAGUUAACUUUCUAAAUUAAAUGAAAUAAAAUUAUAAAUGUAUAAAAA